rnacentral:rRNA from 1 species
CCUACGGGAGGCAGCAGUGGGGAAUAUUGCACAAUGGGGGAAACCCUGAUGCAGCGACGCCGCGUGAAGGAAUAAGUCUUUCUGUAUUUACACUUCUUUCAGCAGGGAAGAAAAUGACGGUACCUGACUACUAAUCCCCGGCUAACUACGGGCCCGCCGCCGCGGUCAUACGUAGGGGGCAAGCUUUAUCCGGAUUUACUGGGUGUAAAGGGAGCUUAGGCGGUGCAGCAAUUCAGAAGUGAAAGCCAGGGGCUCCACUCCGGGACUGUUUUUGAAACUGUUGAACUAGAGUGCAGGAGAGGUAAGGGGAAGUCGUAGUGUAGCGGUGAAAUGCGUAGAUAUUAGGAGGAACACCAGUGGCGAAGGCGGCAUACUGGACUGUAAAUGACGCUGAGGCUCGAAAGCGUGGGGAGCAAACAGGAUUAGAUACCCCUGUAGUC